UUUCCGAAUCGGCGGGAACGAGGGGAAGUAAUUGAACGUCAAAAACGUGAUCGCGAAACACUACGGGGUUCACAAAACGACGCGCAAAGAGAUACGCCUCGAACCCAGAGCGAAAGGAGGAUAGAGUGUGGAGAAGGUUGGGAGAAGGCGUUUUCACCUAAAUAAUCCAGAUAUUCGUAGUCUCACUGGUCCGUUCAGUGCGUCGAUAAACAAGAGAUCCCGGGAACGUAAGUAAUCCGGGGGCCAGACGGUGAGCGAGAGAGUAGAAACGGACGAAAAGCGAAAACCAACGAUUAUUCACUCCGUCCUGUGUCGCUGACCGGACGUACUUGCACAUAACCUUGCAAAAAUUGCAAGCGUCAGGGGGAUAAGAGGAGCCGAGAGCGGCCGAGAGAGCGAGCGAGAGGGAUACGGUGGAGGGAAAAAAAAAAAUGUUGGAGGGAGACGGAGUAAAAUCGCCAGACGGAGUCUCAUCGUUUCUAAAAUUAAUGGAGGACGAAUUUGCGCGCGAAGGAGAGGAAAAAAAAAUCAACUGGUCGGUGCGAUAGCGCUGGAAAUACCGAGAUAAUCAAUAAAAAAAAAAUAUCAUUAAUAAUUUGUUGCUGUACCUGAGCGUUAAUUUUGGUUUCCCUAAAUGAUGAUUAAUUUCCAACGAUCGGCUGCUCGUUCCUCACCGACGAUUGAAAAAAUAAUAAUAAACUGAUUGAAAUUUCGACAGAUCCUUAUUACAACGGAGCUGAGCACCCAAUCAACACACUGCAAUGCACGAGGACGAUCACGAUAUCUCCGGUAUAAUCCGCGGUAUGCGACACAUAUUAACCGACAGACGCACCGUCUUCACAAUGCUAUAAUUUUUCCACCGAGUUAUCACUUUAGCGAUGUCCUUCCAACAAUAGUCACUGUCGCCGAAAAAAAAAAAAUCGCUGAAUUGAAUUUAUCAAAACUCGUGUGUCCGAACGGAAUUACCGUAAUCACUUUUGUCGAGUCAAAUCACUAUUGUAUCACUUGUACCGCUGGAUAAACGAAGAUAUCACUUAAACUUUGUCUAUACCGUUAACUUUGGAAACUGUUCGUCAACUCGAAUAACAAAAACAAAAAAAGUUUUAAAUUAAUUUAAAAAAAAAAAAGAAAAAAAAAACUAAAAUCCAGGCACUUUGUUGAUUGUAUAUUGCAGUGAGGUGAUAGUGGCGCAAAGUCCGGUGGCACAGCGGUGGUGAAGAUGGCUUUUUUGGACAAAAUAAUACUCCUCUCUCGUGUGGUGCCUACAUAGCCGUGUGAUGCAUAAAUUGGACUGUCUCGACUAGUGAACGGUGCAGUGGUGCAAGCCCCCGCUAAACAAAACCAGUUUGCCCGGCUUUUUCGCAUACACACAAGGAGUACAAAUACAGACGGUCUAAGAACACCCCGUAAGGUGGUGGAACAGUAUGGGGAGGUAAAAGGGGGUAAAGGAGAAACCCUGAAAACGGGAUAGUUGAGGGCAAUGGGUGAGGGUACAGCAAAAAUUUUGCUACCCAAUCCAAUCGGAUUCAACGGUUUUGCCUCUCUUUUGCGCUGUGGUAACCGUACACAGGGGGGCCUCAGCCCCGCCUUUGCAUCAGUAGCGUCUCUAGUACCGUAAAACACCUACGGAUGCAAUGGGUGCAGUUGGGGGGUUGAAAAGCCCGCCUUUUACCCCACCAUGCGACAGUUCACGGGAGAAAAUAAAAAUACAUUAGAAAUAUUUAAAUUGAGUUCGGGCGCGAUAGGUUUGGGGCAUCAGGGGGUGACUUUAAAUUUUGAAAAUCGGGUUCAGAGGCCAUUGAGCAUUUUCGAAAGCCACUCGCCCCAAAACGCCGGAGAAUGUUCAUCUCCUGGAGUUGAAAAAAAAAAAUAAAACUGCAGAAUUUCAGUGUUCUGACCUCGAGCAGCAAUUAUUCGGGAAUUUGGGGCCCGAGGGGCGAUUUUUCAGGGGAUUUUCGGCCGCCGCGUACUCAUCGAUGGGAUUGAUCUACUUGACAAGUGGAAAUGGAAAACUCAGACGGGAAAAAGUAGUAACAGACAGCUUGGAGCGUACACGAUACUCAGGGGAUGUGGGUACGGCCCUGACGUGUAGUCUGGCAGUGCACCCGCUGCUUCUCUCCCCUCCUCGCGAACCCCCUCCCCCCCCCUUGGGUGAGGAGGGAGAGAAUCGCACACAGACGUUGAGAAGGACAGAAGAGGCUGAAGGAGUUGGAGAGGUAGAGGAGAGAGUGAAAGAUAUUGGGAAGGGGUGAGCAGAUACGACGCUGGCGAGACCCAACGCGCUUUGCAGAAACCUGUUUCUACGUUUUCUGCUUUACGUGUGAUUAUUAUGAAUAUAAAACUCCAAAGUUCUAGUCUUUUUCAUCGAAAAAAGUGCGUUCGAUGGCGGAGAAAUAUUCGAGCCCAUCGGGGAACCCAAAUUUUGGAAGAUUUUUUUUUUUUUUCGCGGGGAAAAUAGUGUUCGCACGCUUGGUUCACUCGAUUGCGGGACAAUGCACAUUUUUGCUGGAUAUUUAUUUUUUUUUUUUGCGACUGAACGGAGGGCAUUGUCGUGGGAGGCUGAUAUUCAAAGGGGUACGGUAUACUCGACGAUGGCCCCGAAGCCCUGUUCGAUGCACUUCGUCAUUUUCUGUCUUUAUUUUUAGUUCUCUCUGUCCCUGUCUCGCUCUUUAUUCAACUUGUUUUCGGACUGUGGUCAAAGCACUCGGCGCCGAAGCCUUUCGAUGAGUUUCUUUUGUUCCAUCGUUUGGAAAAAUGGGGAUCGGAGAAUUCAAUGAAAUUUUCAAUGCUCUGGGAAAAUGUGGGUUACUGCGGUGCAUGGGCAGCGGGCGGAAGGGGAUUUAUUGGGCGUAUUGGAUAGAUUUCUGGCUCGCCGGACCGGCCGUUCGCGGGGAAUAACUCCACAGGUGGUAAUUAUGAUAGUUUUACUGCUCUAGGAGGUGAUCGUGGUGGUUGUCAGGGUGAGUGCAGUCGCUCCGGGAAUUGCAAACGUUAGGAAAAUAAUUUAAAUUCUUGGAUUUUUUUUUUUCAGUGGAAAAGUUUAGGAGAAAUGAGCAAUUGGGGGAGAUUUUCAGGUAUUGACCUGGGUAAUGUCGUCGUCCUGGAGCAGCAUGGUAGUUAUUAUAAAUCAUUUGAUUGUUGAUAUGUGGGUAAAAAUUAGACCACUUCAGGUACAUAAAUAUUUAGUAAAAUAUGUAAAAAAAUUAAUACAUCAAAAAUAUGUGGAAUUAACUUGAAUUUUAUAAAAUGAAAAUUUGUAUUUAGUGAGUUGAAGAUGUUAUUUUGUCAUAAAAAAAUUCGUGAAGUUCUUAUACUACAGAAAAUGUCAAGAACUUUGAAGAAUAUUAAUAAUCCAUUAGUUCCAUCGUUUUAACUGAUAAUUUUAGUGAUAAAAAAAAAUUAGUGAUUAAAAAUUAUUGAAGUUGUACUCUUCUCUGUCCGAAACAGUAAAAUAUGUUAGAAAUUUGUAUUUAGUAAGUUGAAGAUGUUAUUUUAUCAUAAAAAAAUUCGUGAAUUUUUUUUAUAAUAAAUACAAUGUCAAGACCCCUCGAAGAAUAUUAAUAACCCAUUAGUUCCAUCGUUUUAACUAAUAAUUUUAGUUAUAAAAAAAAAAAAUUACUGAUUAAAAAUUAUUGAAGUUGUACUCUCCUCUCCCCGGAACAGUAAAAUAUGGCAUGGGCCUCCGAUAUCCCCAGAAUAUGUGGGAAAUCAUGACUGGUGGAUGAAAAAAUCGGCAACAGGUGUCGGGUAAGAGGGCAUAUGUAAAGAAUUUAAAAGAUCCGUCGCGCUUCCGGCGGGUAGGAGGGCUCGUACCCCUCGGGGGGACUAUCCGAAAGACU